UAUUUUCUUUUAGAUUAGAUCUGAGAACUUGGAUGAAAUUUACAUAGAGAAAAAUAGGCGAUUUAUGUUGAGAUUUGCAGGGAGAAAGAGAGGCAAGUUUUUCAUUCCCAUUUUCAGAUUUAAUCUAAAAAUCUUUAACCAUCAAGAGAAAGUGUGUUUGUACAUCGAGUAGCAGAAGAUUAUCUCAGUUGAUGCAGGAGUUUAUAUAUGUUUUACUAAUCUUUUGAUUUUCUUCUGAAUAUAGACUAGAAUGUGUAAAAGUUAACCUAAUUUCUACAUCUGAUUUUCUUUUGAAACUACGAGUAACUUACCGAUCUUCAUCAGUUAAUUCGAGUUUUUCAUAUCUCAUCAACUGCACGCAAGAAAAAUACCAUUAGAACAGAUCUGGUGUAUUGAAGGUCAAAGAUGAUAAAGAUCAGUUCCCAACUUAUGUUGUUAUGCUUGCAGCCCAAGAUGCUACAACACGAUGCAAGGGGUGUACACAUUGGUUCACCAAUGUAUUUUCUAUGAAAAAGUAGGUUUGUUUGUGGCUAUGAAGGAUCGGUUUUAGGAAUGUUUCAAAGGGAUGCAUAUAUUGAUGCACCAAUAUACUUCUCAUGAAAAAGUUAUCUGCUAAACUUACCUCUGCAAAUAUGGAUGUUAUCCAACUGCAUCUUGGCGCAGUUAAUAUUUUUAUCAAUAUGUGCAGACUAGAGUGGCAGUCUGGCUAUCAUGGAUUUUGAAUUUUCUGGAUCUUUGCAGCGGUGUACAUAAUUG